AGGAGUAAGGAAAGGUUUCACCUGGAGGCAGGUGCUGGAGAUAUCCUGGAGGGCUGUUGAAACAGGAGGUGGAGGUACAAUCACGGAUGUUGCCACAUGAGGACUCCAAGCAACAGCCAUUUGUAUAAGCAGAGAACUUCUUGCCCUCCUGAGUGCAGCUGCAGUGGUACUUGAUAAGAUUAGUAGACUUGCACUUGGAGUCCUCACAGAGAUUGCUCUUAAAAUGAAG